AUUGAAAUAACCUAAAUUCAAAAAAUAUGGAUCCGCACUUAAACAAACAUAAUGCUGGACCCACACCAAUAAUUCUUUAUUUAAUAUUUGUAUUUUUCGCAUCGCUGUUCAUUGGCUUGCAGUUCUUUCACUACCGUAAAAUGCAAAGUGAGAGACAAAAUUCAGUCGAUCAACAUCCUCCAAAUUGUGAUGUCUGAUUAAAUUCUCAGCCCACUAAAUAAGAGAGUCCCUUAAAACAUAUAAGAAAGUGCUAAUGGACAUGUUCGAUAUAUAAUAGAUGAUCCCUCCAAUUAUGCAUUCCAUAUCUAUUAAAUUCGAAACGGAUAUUUUCAGUGCUUGGAUUUCUUUUUGGUAUACUGUUUUCUUUGUUUUGGAUUUAAGAUUUUAAAGGACACUGACUCAAGUUGUUACUUUAUCGUUGUUAAUGAACUAUGAAACUUUUCGUGUGCGAUAUGAGACCCGCUUCUUUAGCUAAUAUUAUAAAUAUCGACUUUCAAAUAAUGGACUAUUCAAAAUAUGGACUUUUCCUAAUGGACAAUUUCAUGCCCUUUUCCUAAUAGUGGGAAUUAAUCAAAAUUAAUUACAAAAAUUAGAUAUUGUGUAUUCGU